AGAAUGUUCUUAAUGAUCAUGCUGUUGGACCAGAGCAGGAGACUUGUUCAAGACUACAGAGCUCAUUAUCAGCUGGCCCAGGAAGAACCCCUGCCUUGACCUCCUUCAUCCUUUCAUGUGGGGUGGCCCUGUCUCCUCCUCAGGGACCUACUGACCGGUGAAUGGCCUAUCAAUUGUAAACUGACUCUGAAAGGCAUUGAACCCAUGGGGGAACUGCUAGGAAAUGAGAACAAUCUCCCACUGUACUGGGUUGAAUGGUAGCUCACCAAAAAGAUGUCGACGUGUCAGAAUCCGUGAUGGUGACCUUAUUUGGAAGAAGGGUCUAUGCAAGAUGUAGUUAAGGAUCUCGAGAUUAUCCUGGAUUAGCCGGGUCAUCCAGUUUAAUGGCAAGACAGAAAAGAGAAGACAGACACGGAGAAGAAGGCCAUGUGAAGACAGAGACAGAGAUUAGAGACGCUGCCACGAGCCAGGAAACACCAGGAGCCGCCAGGAGCUGGAAGAGGCAAGGAAGGAUUCUCCCCUACCGCCUUUGGAGGAACAGCCCUCCCAACAUCUUGAUUUUGGACUUCCAGCCUCCAGAACUGUGAGAAUGAAUUUUUGUUGUUUGAAGCCACCAAGUUGUGGUAAUCUUUUAUGACCUUCCUAUUUUCCUAGGAAAUUCAUAUGCUCCCCCCCCCUUUAAAAAAAUGACACUGACUUUUUUAAAAGUCUAGGAAUUGUUGUAUUAUUGAAUGUCCCAAUUCUGAAAUUGUCUUCAGAUUGACCUUUUAAAGUCAUAAAUCAGAUCAAGUCAUUCCCUUGCUUAAAACCCUCCAACGGCUUUUCAUUGCAUUAAAAUAAAAUAAGCUAUAAACUCUUUA